CUACGGGCUGCACCAGUGAGGAAUAUUGCACAAUGGGGGGAACCCUGAUGCAGCAACGCCGCGUGGAGGAUGACGCAUUUCGGUGUGUAAACUCCUUUUAUAUGUCAAGAAAAUGACGGUAGCAUAUGAAUAAGCACCGGCUAACUCCGCGCCAGCAGCCGCGGGUAAUACGGAGGGUGCAAGCGUUACUCGGAAUCACUGGGCGUAAAGGACGCGUAGGCGGGUUGGAAAGUCAGGUGUGAAAUCCUACAGCUUAACUGUAGAACUGCACUUGAAACUUCUAAUCUAGAGUAUGGGAGGGGGAGAUGGAAUUAGUGGUGUAGGGGUAAAAUCCGUAGAUAUCACUAGGAAUACCUAAAGCGAAGGCGAUCUCCUGGAACAUUACUGACGCUAAGGCGUGAAAGCGUGGGGAGCAAACAGGAUUAGAUACCCCAGUAGUC
rnacentral:rRNA from 1 species